UACGAAGGGGGCUAGCGUUGCUCGGAAUCACUGGGCGUAAAGCGCACGUAGGCGGCUUUCUAAGUCAGGGGUGAAAUCCUGGAGCUCAACUCCAGAACUGCCUUUGAUACUGGAGUGCUUGAGUCCGGGAGAGGUGAGUGGAACUCCGAGUGUAGAGGUGAAAUUCGUAGAUAUUCGCAAGAACACCAGUGGCGAAGGCGGCUCACUGGCCCGGGUACUGACGCUGAGGUGCGAAAGCGUGGGGAGCAAACAGG
rnacentral:rRNA from 1 species